GCAAGUGUAGCUCAGUUGGUAGAGCGAUAGCGCAGAGUUCAUUACUCUGUUAGGAGGUCGGUGGUUCGAAUCCACUCACUUGUCC
rnacentral:tRNA from 1 species